CUCCUUAUUUCUAAUUACAGAAAACCGGAACUUCAUACGCUACUCUGCUGAAGUUCUACGCUACCGGCGCUUAACUCUCCGGUGACGAUGUCCGAUCAAAACUAUGAUGAACUUCAUACGCUACCGGCGCUUAACUCUCCAGUGACGGCGAUGUCCGAUUAAAACUCUUAUGAGCUUCAUACGCUACUGCCAAGAUUCGCUACUCUUAUCUUGCUAUUCUUCGAAGCUUUUUAGGGAUGUGGGGGAGCAUUAAGGAGACUGCAUCAUUCUGCAGAAGCUAUCUGGUCGGAGCUUACACGUCAAUCAUCCCAUCAAUCUUCCACCCCAGGUUGUGGUGAAGGUGUAUUCUCUGAUGUAAAGUAAUGUUAUCAAAUUUCUUGGGCCAAGUGUGAAAAUGAAUCUUGUUAACAGUUGAAAUAGCAAAUUACAAGGUCAAGGGGAGUGCACAAGUACACGCGAUAGGGAGUCAAAGGAAGAAUCUGCACCAACAAAAACUCAAGAGUUUCUUAUAUUCUGAGACAAAAUGGAGGGACCUCCCUCCAGAGAUUACAGUUGAGUACCUUAGCUAUAUCUCGGAUGUUUUAGCGCGACUUCUUCUCUAUUUUGUUAAGAUGAUGGAAUUUUACCUUUUCCAAUAUGAGAUGUAGAGUGGUGCUGCAACCGGGAACAUUACGAAUCAGGAUACUAUACUCGAUGUCACUUCUGGCGUCUCACACUUUUUUUGGUGAUUAAUUGGUGGUUCCUGAUACCACUUUGAAAUUGAUCUAAUGCAUUUUGAUGUGCAGAAAGUUCUGCUCAAUUUAUUAUUUUACUUCAUCAUAUGAGGCUGUACUUUCUUUUAAAGGAUCUGGUGUCUCACGAAAUGGACUGGUGUUGAUGGGAGAAAGAUAUGCGUGUGUUGAGGAUGUUUAAGAAUUUGUUUUUACCUUCUGAGUGAGAUGGGGAGCAUUAAGCGAAUGCCUGAGGCUAUUUGGAGCUCAAUUCGGUCACAGGGGUUAUCUUGUAUUAUUUCACAAGGGUUGUUAAGGAGUUGGUUUUCAGCAGCCUCGAUGCUGGUGCCACCAAGUUUUAAUCGUUUAGACUAAUGCACCUGCAAAUUUGUGUGUUGCUUCAUGCUUGCACAAAAGGCAUUGACUGGUGAGAUUUUUCAAUGAAUUCUUGUGUUCCUUUGUUUGCUAUUUCUGAUGACGGAGGGCAUAUGCUUUAUAUGAAAGCUUCUGUUCUCUUUCCAGGUUCCAUCAACCUAUCCACGUGAACCACCAAAAGUCAAGUGCAAGACCAAGCUUUCUGUGUGAGAUGCAGGUAUAUAUCAUCCUAAUAUUGAUUUGGAGGGUAAUGUAUGCCUCAAUAUACUUAGAGAAGAUUGAAACCUGUUCUCAACAUUAGCACAAUUAGCUAUGGAUUGUAUCUUCAUUUCACGGAACCAAACCAUGAGGAUCCCCUUAAUCUCGAGGCUGCUGUUGUGUUGGGAGAUAAUCCUGAGUUGUUUAAAUCAAAUGUGAAAAGGGCUAUGCAUGGUGUAACUGUUGUCAAUAUAAGCUUCACGCAAUGCGUCGUGUAGCCUGUCCUCUGAUGCUGGCAGUAGCGUUCCUGAUCAGAUGCUGUAUCAUUUUGAGGUUUGCUGGGUUGUAUAUGGUGUCCGCAAACUUGCAGUGCCAUGUUAUCUGAGUGUCUGAUUUUCAUGGAGUAUAAAUUUAGCUUUAAGUUCUUUGACGUGUAUCCAUUAAUGGAUAUUUUAAAAAUAAAUAUCACUAUUUAGGUAUUUGGAAAAUAUUGAUCUCCUUUAUACAGAUUUUGGUCGAAGCA